GAGUUUGAUCAUGGCUCAGAUUGAACGCUGGCGGCAGGCCUAACACAUGCAAGUCGAGCGGAUGAAGGGAGCUUGCUCCUGGAUUCAGCGGCGGACGGGUGAGUAAUGCCUAGGAAUCUGCCUGGUAGUGGGGGAUAACGUCCGGAAACGGGCGCUAAUACCGCAUACGUCCUGAGGGAGAAAGUGGGGGAUCUUCGGACCUCACGCUAUCAGAUGAGCCUAGGUCGGAUUAGCUAGUUGGUGGGGUAAAGGCCUACCAAGGCGACGAUCCGUAACUGGUCUGAGAGGAUGAUCAGUCACACUGGAACUGAGACACGGUCCAGACUCCUACGGGAGGCAGCAGUGGGAAUAUUGGACAAUGGGCGAAAGCCUGAUCCAGCCAUGCCGCGUGUGUGAAGAAGGUCUUCGGAUUGUAAAGCACUUUAAGUUGGGAGGAAGGGCAGUAAGUUAAUACCUUGCUGUUUUGACGUUACCAACAGAAUAAGCACCGGCUAACUUCGUGCCAGCCGCCGCCGU
rnacentral:rRNA from 1 species